rnacentral:tRNA from 1 species
GAGGGUAGAGCUCAGUGGUAGAGUGCAUACUUAGCAUGCAUGAGGUCCUGGGUUCAGUCCAGUAUCUCCA